UACAGAGGUCCCAAGCGUUGUUCGGAUUCACUGAGCGUAAAGGGUGCGUAGGCGGUCGGGUAAGUCUGAUGUGAAAUCUCACAGCUUAACUGUGAAACUGCAUUGGAUACUAUCCGGCUCGAGGAAUGGAGGGGAGACUGGAAUACUUGGUGUAGCAGUGAAAUGCGUAGAUAUCAAGUGGAACACCAGUGGCGAAGGCGAGUCUCUGGACAUUUCCUGACGCUGAGGCACGAAAGCCAGGGGAGCAAACGGG
rnacentral:rRNA from 1 species